UGGGGAAUAUUGCACAAUGGGCGCAAGCCUGAUGCAGCCAUGCCAGCGUGUGUGAAGAAGGCCUUCGGGUUGUAAAGCACUUUCAGCGAGGAGGAAGGUGGUGAACUUAAUACGUUCAUCAAUUGACGUUACUCGCAGAAGAAGCACCGGCUAACUCCGUGCCAGCAGCCGCGGUAAUACGGAGGGUGCAAGCGUUAAUCGGAAUUACUGGGCGUAAAGCGCACGCAGGCGGUUUGUUAAGUCAGAUGUGAAAUCCCCGGGCUCAACCUGGGAACUGCAUUUGAAACUGGCAAGCUAGAGUCUCGUAGAGGGGGGUAGAAUUCCAGGUGUAGCGGUGAAAUGCGUAGAGAUCUGGAGGAAUACCGGUGGCGAAGGCGGCCCCCCUGGACGAAGACUGACGCUCAGGUGCGAAAGCGUGGGG
rnacentral:rRNA from 1 species